CCUACGGGAGGCAGCAGUGGGGAAUUUUGGACAAUGGGGGAAACCCUGAUCCAGCCACCCCGCGUGUGCGAUGAAGGCCUUCGGGUUGUAAAGCACUUUUGGCAGGAAAGAAACGUCGUGGGUUAAUACCCCGCGAAACUGACGGUACCUGCAGAAUAAGCACCGGCUAACUACGUGCCAGCAGCCGCGGUAAU
rnacentral:rRNA from 1 species